rnacentral:misc_RNA from 1 species
UUACCGAGUUGAUGCCCUCAGGGGUAGAUCGCCCACCCUUUUUGACUAUACCUCGGUUGCUUUGGCGGGCCCCCUACCUACUGGCUUCCCCUGGAAAGUGCCCACCCAAGGACUCAAAACCCUGAAAAAUUAGUGGAAACUGACAAAAAUAGAUAAUAUUUAACUGGCAUACAACAGUUCUCUUGGCUCUGGAAUCAAGGAAGAGGGUUGCGAAAUUCAAUAAAUAAUGGAAUUUGCAUAAUUCACUUAAUCAUGCCAUCUUUCAACCCACAUUGGCCCCUUCAGCGUAUGAGGGGCAGGCCUAUCCGAGGGUAGUUGUUACCCCAAAAGCCAACCUUGUUGUUGGGGCUGGCUCUAAAGAAGCCUCUAAAAUCACUGGCACUGGUGUGGGGUUCAACCGUAGUAAAUUCAUCACUAUAGGGGCCUGGGGGAAAAAGGCCCCAACCCCGAAUUGUUAACCUCGGCCCCGGAAGAAAUACCCGAUCCCCUUGGAAUUUCAAUUAUCAAA